ACCGCGACCCCAGGUCAGGCGGGACUACCCGCUGAGUUUAA
rnacentral:rRNA from 34 species